AUUGAACGCUGGCGGCAUGCCUUACACAUGCAAGUCGAACGGCAGCGGGGGAGAAGCUUGCUUUUCCUGCCGGCGAGUGGCGAACGGGUGAGUAAUACAUCGGAACGUGCCCUGUAGUGGGGGAUAACUAGUCGAAAGAUUAGCUAAUACCGCAUACGACCUGAGGGUGAAAGGGGGGGACCGCAAGGCCUCAUGCUAUAGGAGCGGCCGAUGUCUGAUUAGCUAGUUGGUGGGGUAAAGGCCUACCAAGGCGACGAUCAGUAGCCGGUCUGAGAGGACGAUCAGCCACACUGGGACUGAGACACGGCCCAGACUCCCACGGGAGGCAGCAGUGGGGAAUUUUGGACAAUGGGCGAAAGCCUGAUCCAGCAAUGCCGCGUGUGUGAAGAAGGCCUUCGGGUUGUAAAGCACUUUUGUCCGGAAAGAAAUGGCUCUGGUUAAUACCUGGGGUCGAUGACGGUACCGGAAGAAUAAGGACCGGCUAACUACGUGCCAGCCGCCGCCGUAA
rnacentral:rRNA from 1 species